rnacentral:misc_RNA from 1 species
GAUGAAGAACGUAGCGAAAUGCGAUAAGUAGUGUGAAUUGCAGAAUUCAGUGAAUCAUCGAAUUUUUGAACGCACAUUGCGCCCCAUGGUAUUCCGUGGGGCAUGCCUGUUCGAGCGUCAUUUACCCCCUCAAGCUCCGCUUGGUGUUGGGCGUCUGUCCCGCUUCGCGCGCGGACUCGCCCCAAAGGUAUUGGCAGCGGUCGUGCCAGCUUCUCGCGCAGCACAUUGCGCUUCUCGAGGCACCGGUGGGCCCGCGUCCAUCAAGCUCACCCCCCCAGUUUGACCUCGGAUCAGGUAGGGAUACCCGCUGAACUUAAGCAUAUCAAUAAGCGGAGGA